CGGGUGAGUAACGCGUGGGGAAUCUGCCUUUGAGCGGGGGACAACAUUUGGAAACGAAUGCUAAUACCGCAUAAAAACUUUAAACACAAGUUUUAAGUUUGAAAGAUGCAAUUGCAUCACUCAAAGAUGAUCCCGCGUUGUAUUAGCUAGUUGGUGAGGUAAAGGCUCACCAAGGCGAUGAUACAUAGCCGACCUGAGAGGGUGAUCGGCCACAUUGGGACUGAGACACGGCCCAAGCUCCUACGGAAGGCAGCAG
rnacentral:rRNA from 1 species